UUGUAACUCAUAACAUGUAACGUAGGUAAAGCCCGGCACAUUGCCCAGUGGGGUGCUAGGGAUCACAGAACAUCCUGAGUGGGAAGGGACCUACAAGGAUCAUCAAGUCCAACUCCUGGCUCCACACAGGACCAGCCAAAAAUCAGGCCCUGUGUCUGAGAGCAUUGUCCAAACGCUUCUUGAACUCCACUUCUUGAGCUCCGGCAGUCUCGGUGCUGUGACCACUGCCCUGGGGAGCCUGUCCCAGUGCCCGACCACCCUCUGGGUGCAGAACCUUUCCCUAACCCCCAGCCUGACCCUCCCCUGUCCCAGCUCCAUGCCGUUCCCUCGGGUCCUGUCGCUGUCCCCAGAGAGCAGAGCUCAGCGCCUGCCCCUCCGCUCCCCUCGUGAGGGAGCUGCAGGCCGCCAUGAGGCCUCCCCUCGGCCUGCUCUGCUCUGGGCCGAACAAACACAGGGACCUCAGCUGUUCCUCAUGUGUCUUGCCCUCCAGACCCUUCACCAUCUUUGUAGCCCUCCUUUGGGAGGGCUAAUAGGGCUAAUUAGGACACUCCCUAAUAGUUUUAUAUCCUUAGGAGAUACAAAGCAUCAGGCUAUAGGGGACAAAUGCAACCCAGGCUGUGCCAGUGGGGUUCUGUUCUCCCAUCACUGUGCCCUUUCCCAUUUACAACAUUAUUCAGAAAACAGGCAAAUUGAAAGUUGA
rnacentral:lncRNA from 1 species